AACGAACGCUGGCGGCAUGCCUAACACAUGCAAGUCGAACGAGAACUUCGGGUCUAGUGGCGCACGGGUGCGUAAGGCGUGGGAACAUGCCCUUAGGUUCGGCAUAACUCUCCGAAAGGGGUGCUAAUACCGGACAAUGUCUUCGGACCAAGGAUUUAUCGCCUUUGGAUGUUCCCGCGUUGGAUUAGCUAGUUGGUAGGGUAAAAGCUUACCAAGGCGACGAUCCAUAGCUGGUCUGUGAGGAUGAUCAGCCACACUGGGACUGGGACACGGCCCAGACUCCUACGGGAGGCAGCAGUGGGGAAUAUAGGACAGUGGGCGAAAGCCUGAUCCAGCAAGGCCGCGUGAGUGAUGAAGGCCUUAGAGUUGUAAAGCUCUUUUACCCGGGAUGAUAAUGACGGUACCGGGAGAAUAAGCUCCGGCUAACUCCGUG
rnacentral:rRNA from 1 species